GUUACUGUUUUUUUUAACUUUACUGACAUGGCAUACACGUGGAUGAUCCAUCAGCAUUUAAUUAAUUUUUAAAUUUUAAAAACUUUAAAAAAAUAUUUUUAAAAAUUAAAAUCAUUAAAAUUAUUUAAAAAUAUUUUUUAUAUCUUUUAAAUUUUAAAAAUUCAAUUAAAUGUUGACAUGUACUCAUCCACGUGGCAAUCAACGUGUAUGCCACAUCAGCAAAGUUAACAAAGUUAAUUUU
rnacentral:pre_miRNA from 1 species